rnacentral:rRNA from 1 species
UGGGGAAUAUUGCACAAUGGGCGCAAGCCUGAUGCAGCCAUGCCGCGUGUGUGAAGAAGGCCUUCGGGUUGUAAAGCACUUUCAGCGAGGAGGAAGGGUAGUGUGUUAAUAGCACAUUGCAUUGACGUUACUCGCAGAAGAAGCACCGGCUAACUCCGUGCCAGCAGCCGCGGUAAUACGGAGGGUGCAAGCGUUAAUCGGAAUUACUGGGCGUAAAGCGCACGCAGGCGGUUUGUUAAGUCAGAUGUGAAAUCCCCGCGCUUAACGUGGGAACUGCAUUUGAAACUGGCAAGCUAGAGUCUUGUAGAGGGGGGUAGAAUGCCAGGUGUAGCGGUGAAAUGCGUAGAGAUCUGGAGGAAUACCGGUGGCGAAGGCGGCCCCCUGGACAAAGACUGACGCUCAGGUGCGAAAGCGUGGGGAGCAAACA